UGCACUUUACAUGCAAAAAGCGCUCAAGAAGACUGCCAUGAAAUUUGACUAGUUUGACUAUUUGUGCAAUUUCAUCCGAGAACUUUAAACAUUUAAACGUUAUUUUCUGGUCCUGAGUGGAGUAGACAUGGCUGACCAGGAAACUGGGCCCAAUGGGCUGGCUAAGAGGGCUGCAGCAGGUGCUGCGGUUUUCAAAGUGCGUGAGGCUGUAAUGGCUAUUCUUCAAAACGAAUCUACUGGUAACCUGAAAGUACAAAAACGGAUUCCCCCAUCGACUCCUUUAAUUGUACCAAAACCUUCCCUGAAGCCGUACAAGCGGCCCCCCACUCUGCUAUUGCCACCUUCAUACAGCGCCAACCCAGUUGGAGGAUUUACCUGUGAGGUGUGCGGCCAGAACUUCUUCUCUUUUCCUCAGGUGGUGAGACACAAACAGUUCCACGACGAAGAAAGGCCCUUUCCCUGUGGUGUGUGUGGGAAACGUUUCCUGAGCCGCAGCCACUACACUGAGCACCAGCGGGUUCACACUGGGGAGCGGCCCUUUCCCUGCAACCAGUGUGAGCGCUCGUUCACCACACACCACAACCUGAAGCGUCACCAAACCAUCCAUGCCAAAGAAGAGGCAUAUCGCUGCCGGAAAUGUGGCGUGCUUUUCUGCCAGCGUCACGAGUACCCCGGGGGCAUACCCAGACCCGACCUCGAGCCUCGACCUGGGUUUGAGUCCACAUCCACGAUGCAACCAACACCUCCCAUUCAGGUCACACUCACACCCAAGCAUCUUAAGAAGCUUAACAAGAAGCUUAAUAAGAAGAGCCAUGAUCUCUCAACUAAACAUGAUCAUUCUAAAAAGAAGAAAAAGAGGAGUAGAGUCAAACAUCCAGGCCCAGCAGAGAAAGUGAAUUAUGUGCGUCAAGAGGAACUUUGUCCUGUGUUGUUAACUAAAGGAGAAAAAUUGCAAAAAGUUGCUUAUGACAUUGAGGUUAUUAUAUGAUCCCACAUGAUGAUAAAACAAAAUGGGAUAAUUAGUCCGAUCAUGAUUAAAAAAUAAGUUUGUUUUGUUUCAUCUCCGCCGAUGUGGACGCUGUUUCAGAAAGGAGUUAUACCUUGAAACACUUGUUUUGCCUCGCAUCAUGACUUUGGUAUUUAUUCCUCCAUGAGUUUGAGAAAAUAACUUUCCACAAUUGAUCAUGAUUUGGAAACAUUCUGUCAAGCAUUUCAAAUGAUUAACUGUCCUCUGAAAUGUUAUGGUUUCGCUUUUGAGAUCUUGACCAUUUUUUUUGUAUUAGAAUAGAAUAUAGACACUUUUGAGUUAUGAUUCAUUCAGUUGUUUUGAUCCAUUGCCAUGUAAGGGCUAGUGUCCAUGCAUUAUUAAAUGACAUGCUAUUAAACUAGUUAACUCCUCUGAUGUGGCACAUCAAAAUGUAUUUCCAUAUCAAAUAAUGUUCAUCUGCUUUUCAGAUUAUGUUCAUAAAUGCCUGUAGGGUUUCUCUCUGGGCCUUAACCAUUGAGUUGUCCAGAAAUUGCCUUCACCAAUUUAUGUAAGCAAAAAUAAUCAUGAUGCAUUGUUGUUGAUUAAUUACUAAAUGUACCUGUCAUAAGAACAAGUGAAUCCCGCUAUCUGUAGUCUGUGUAAUGUGGACAGUGUUGUUAAAUUUGGGUAACAGAGUCUAUGUAUGUUGAAAUUAUACGUCUCUAGUUGAAUUCUGCAUAACUACCUCAGGCUGAUUGUAAAAUGUAUUUUUUAAAUUGAUAAUGGGAUUACUUACA